GGAAGUAAAAGUCGUAACAAGGUCUCCGUUGGUGAACCAGCGGAGGGAU
rnacentral:rRNA from 1 species